rnacentral:rRNA from 1 species
GUGAGGAAUUUUCCGCAAUGGGCGAAAGCCUGACGGAGCAAUGCCGCGUGAAGGAUGAAGGCCUAUGGGUUGUAAACUUCUUUUCUCAGAAAAGAAUUAUGACGGUAUCUGAGGAAUAAGCAUCGGCUAACUCUGUGCCAGCAGCCGCGGUAAGACAGAGGAUGCAAGCGUUAUCCGGAAUGAUUGGGCGUAAAGCGUCUGUAGGUUGUUUAAAAAGUAUUCUGUCAAAGAUUAGGGCUUAACCCUAGAUAGGCAGAAUAAACUUUUAAGCUAGAGUUUGGUAGAGGCAGAGGUAAUUCCCGGUGGAGCGGUGAAAUGCGUAGAUAUCGGGAGGAACACCAAAGGCGAAGGCACUCUGCUGGGCCAAUACUAACACUGAGAGACGAAAGCGAGGGGAGCAAAUGGGAUUAGAAACCCUUGUAGUCC